UUCUUUUUCCACCGGAGCUUGCUCCACCGGAAAAAGAGGAGUGGCGAACGGGUGAGUAACACGUGGGUAACCUGCCCAUCAGAAGGGGAUAACACUUGGAAACAGGUGCUAAUACCGUAUAACAAUCAAAACCGCAUGGUUUUGAUUUGAAAGGCGCUUUCGGGUGUCGCUGAUGGAUGGACCCGCGGUGCAUUAGCUAGUUGGUGAGGUAACGGCUCACCAAGGCCACGAUGCAUAGCCGACCUGAGAGGGUGAUCGGCCACAUUGGGACUGAGACACGGCCCAAACUCCUACGGGAGGCAGCAGUAGGGAAUCUUCGGCAAUGGACGAAAGUCUGACCGAGCAACGCCGCGUGAGUGAAGAAGGUUUUCGGAUCGUAAAACUCUGUUGUUAGAGAAGAACAAGGAUGAGAGUAACUGUUCAUCCCUUGACGGUAUCUAACCAGAAAGCCACGGCUAACUACGUGCCAGCAGCCGCGGUAAUACGUAGGUGGCAAGCGUUGUCCGGAUUUAUUGGGCGUAAAGCGAGCGCAGGCGGUUUCUUAAGUCUGAUGUGAAAGCCCCCGGCUCAACCGGGGAGGGUCAUUGGAAACUGGGAGACUUGAGUGCAGAAGAGGAGAGUGGAAUUCCAUGUGUAGCGGUGAAAUGCGUAGAUAUAUGGAGGAACACCAGUGGCGAAGGCGGCUCUCUGGUCUGUAACUGACGCUGAGGCUCGAAAGCGUGGGGAGCAAACAGGAUUAGAUACCCUGGUAGUCCACGCCGUAAACGAUGAGUGCUAAGUGUUGGAGGGUUUCCGCCCUUCAGUGCUGCAGCUAACGCAUUAAGCACUCCGCCUGGGGAGUACGACCGCAAGGUUGAAACUCAAAGGAAUUGACGGGGGCCCGCACAAGCGGUGGAGCAUGUGGUUUAAUUCGAAGCAACGCGAAGAACCUUACCAGGUCUUGACAUCCUUUGACCACUCUAGAGAUAGAGCUUCCCCUUCGGGGGCAAAGUGACAGGUGGUGCAUGGUUGUCGUCAGCUCGUGUCGUGAGAUGUUGGGUUAAGUCCCGCAACGAGCGCAACCCUUAUUGUUAGUUGCCAUCAUUCAGUUGGGCACUCUAGCAAGACUGCCGGUGACAAACCGGAGGAAGGUGGGGAUGACGUCAAAUCAUCAUGCCCCUUAUGACCUGGGCUACACACGUGCUACAAUGGGAAGUACAACGAGU
rnacentral:rRNA from 1 species